UUCCGGUUGAUCCCGCCGGAGAUCACUGCUAUCAGAGUCCGACUAAGCCAUGCAAAGCUAUUGGUACACAUGAAGGUAAAAACUUCAGGUGUACCAAGCUGUACUGCUGAGUAACACGUAGCUAAUCUAUCCUAGGGAUGGGGAUAAUCUCGGGAAACUGAGAAUAAUCCCCAAUAGGCGAGAAAGGCUGGAAUGCGUUCUCGCCGAAAGAUGUAAGUUAAAGCUUACAUCGCCCUAGGAUGAGGCUGCGGCGGAUUAGGUUGUUGUUUGGGUAACGACCAAACAAGCCUAUAAUCCGUAGGGGUCUUGAGAGAGAUAGCCCCCAGAUGGACUCUGAGACAUGAGUCCAGGCUCUACGGAGCGCAGCAGGCGCGAAACCUUCGCAAUGCCUGAAAGGGCGACGAGGGGACUCUGAGUGCUCUCUACUCUGUAGAGAGCUUUUGUCGAGUGUAAAAAGCUCGACGAAUAAGGGGUGGGCAAGACGGUUGCCAGCCGCCGCGGUAAUAACCGCGCCCCGAGUGGUGAUCACGAUUAUUGGGCCUAAAGCAUCCGUAGCCGGUUCUGUGUGUCUUCAGUGAAAUUCUCUUGUAAACAAGAGAGCUGGCUGAAGAUACUACAGAACUUUGGGGUAGGGAGAGGUCGAGGGUACUCUCGAGGUAGGGGUUAAAUCCGUUAAUCUCGAGGGGACCACCUGUGGCGAAGGCGCUCGACCAGAACUAACCCGACGGUCAUGGAUGAAAGCUAGGGGAGCGAUCGGGAUUAGAUACCCCGGUAGUCCUAGCCGUAAACGAUGCCCACUUGCUGUUGCAAAGCUCUCGGGGCUUUGCAGCGGCGGAGCGAAGGCGUUAAGUGGGCCGCCUGGGGAGUACGGCCGCAAGGCUGAAACUUAAAGGAAUUGGCGGGGGAGCACUACAAGGGGUGAGGCUACGGUUCAAUUGGAUUCAACGCCGGGA
rnacentral:rRNA from 1 species